AUUGAAACAUUCGUUCUUGUCCGAUCACCGAAGUUAAGCAUCGUUGACCCUGGUUAUUACCUAGAUGGGUGACCGCAUGGUAAUACCAGGUGCUGUAA